UGCUCCAUGGUCAGUAAGUAAUAAGUAUUACUAUACUCUGUGGCUUGACUUGACUGUUCUUUCUAUUCCGUUGUGAAUUUUCAAGUUGAUAAACAGUUUCAACUUUAUUUUAAACAAAAAGUAAUACUAAAUCUGAAUAGAAAUAUUAUUCAAGAUACGUCUAUAUUAGCUGCCCGGACACAAAGAGUAUCCCGACUUCGUUCUGUCAAUUAUUAGUUUUCUAAGAAAUGGAAAGCACAAAACCAGUCACUGUACCAAGGGAGCGACAACCUCCACCUGAACCACGUCCCAGACAACCUCCUCCAGAGCCGAAAAGGUCUACAGCAAUUCCACCACCACAACCAAGGGAAAGGCAAAAACCUCCACAACCUAAGGAAAGACAAAUGCCUCCAAAACCACAAUAAUAAUAAUAUAUAUUUUUUACCUGUUUUAAGAUAUAAAAAAAAAAUGUUAUAAAUCUUUA